rnacentral:rRNA from 1 species
AUUGAACGCUGGCGGCAGGCCUAACACAUGCAAGUCGAGCGGAGAGGCGGACGGGUGAGUAAUGCCUAGGAAUCUGCCUGGUCGUGGGGGAGAACGUCCGGAAAUGGGAGCUAAUACCGCAUCCUAUCAGAUGAGCCUAGGUCGGAUUAGCUAGUUGGUGGGGUAAGGGCCAACCAAGGCGACGAUCCUAAACUGGUCUGAGAGGAGGAGCAGUCACACGUGAACUGAGACACGGUCCAGACUCCUACGGGAGGCAGCAGGGGGGAAUAUUGGACAAUGGGCGAAAGCCUGAUCCAGCCAUGCCGCGUGUGUGAAGAAGGCCUUCGGAUUGUAAAGCACUUUAAGUUGGGAGGCGUUACCAACAGAAUAAGCACCGGCUAACUUCGUGCCAGCAGCCGCGGUAAUUC